UACAGAGGGUGCGAGCGUUAAUCGGAAUUACUGGGCGUAAAGCGCGCGUAGGCGGCUUUGCAAGCCGGAUGUGAAAUCCCCGGGCUUAACCUGGGAACUGCAUUCGGGACUGCAUUGCUAGAGUAUGGGAGAGGGAAGUGGAAUUUCAGGUGUAGCGGUGAAAUGCGUAGAUAUCUGAAGGAACAUCAGUGGCGAAAGCGACUUCCUGGACCAAUACUGACGCUCGUGUGCGAAAGCGUGGGGAGCAAACAGG
rnacentral:rRNA from 1 species